GGGGGGUCCGAAGAUGCAGCUCCGUCUCUUCCCGGCUGGGUCCCCCCCCCGCUCCGGCUUGCGAAAGGCUCCCCCCGCCGGUCCCGAUCUGCGGCGCCCUCCGAGGAGGAGGAGCCUCCGCCGUGCCCGACUCCUUCCUCCUCCUCCUCCUCCUCCGGAGGUUCCGAAACGGACAAACGGAAACGGAACUCGGUGACUUCCGACGGAGCGCGAAGGAGCCCGGGCUCUGCACGGAUCACCCCAGAAGUAUGGGAACUGCAUCUGCCUUAAAUAUAUAGCAGACAAUUUGCAGAUCUCCCAUGCCGCAGGCUUGGACGAGAAAGGAGCAACUCCAAUGCCGAACCCCUGCCCAUCCACCUCACCAACCAUGUGGCCGUCAGCAUCAACCAAUCCAGCCUGAGAACAGAGAAGGGGAAAGCGUGGCGCUAAGAGGGUAGAGAAUCUGCAUCACCGAAUUCUAAGGAACCGACGAACGUGAGAGUUGAUUUCCGCCACCUGGAUUUCAUUGAGGGGCUCAUAAGUGAUUGGUGGACGAUUGAGCUAGAAAUGGAAAACAGGAGACUCAGAGCCGACCCUGCGCUGCUUACCGUCUCCACGAUGUGAACGGCUUCGCUGCAGACGUUGGCCACCAGGACGGUGUAACAGUUUCCACCUGGGAGGGAAAGAAAGGAAUGGCAGGCAGGUUUUGGGGUUCCCAGACCUUUCCACGGGGCAUCCAGAGAAAGCUCACCCUCUCGCGCCCUGGGAGCUCGCUGGGUGACCUUGAGUCAAUCACACGCUCUCAUCCCAGCCCACCUCACAGGGUUGUAAUGAGGACAAAAUGGAGAAUGAUGCAAGCUACCCUUUUGGUUUGAAAGCCAGUGUGUUGUAGCAAUCGGAAUGUCAUGCUAGGAUGCGGGAGACCCAGAUUCAAAUCCCCACUCGGCAGGGAAACUUGCUGGGUGAUCUUGGUCCAGUCACACACUCACAGCCUAACAUACAUCACAGGGUUUGUUGCCUCCCACCCCUCCCCCCCUUCACUAGGUGAGAGGGCCAUGUCCAGAGGCCGGGCCCUCUCCCUUUCCCUUUCCUCCCUUGCAUAAGAACAUAAGAACAAGCCAGCUGGAUCAGACCAGAGU